rnacentral:rRNA from 1 species
UACGGAGGGUGCAAGCGUUAUCCGGAUUCACUGGGUUUAAAGGGUGCGUAGGCGGAUAGGUAAGUCCGUGGUGAAAUCCUGCAGCUUAACUGCAGAACUGCCGUGGAUACUAUCUAUCUUGAAUGUCGUGGAGGUUAGCGGAAUAUGUCAUGUAGCGGUGAAAUGCUUAGAUAUGACAUAGAAUACCCAUUGCGAAGGCAGCUAACUACGCGAUAAUUGACGCUGAUGCACGAAAGCGUGGGGAUCAAACAGG